rnacentral:rRNA from 1 species
UUAAGUCCCGUAACGAGCGCAACCCUUGUCCUUAGUUACCAGCACGUUAUGGUGGGCACUCUAAGGAGACUGCCGGUGACAAACCGGGGGAAGGUGGGGAUGACGUCAAGUCAUCAUGGCCCUUACGGCCUGGGCUACACACGUGCUACAAUGGUCGGUACAAAGGGUUGCCAAGCCGCGAGGUGGAGCUAAUCCCAUAAAACCGAUCGUAGUCCGGAUCGCAGUCUGCAACUCGACUGCGUGAAGUCGGAAUCGCUAGUAAUCGUGAAUCAGAAUGUCACGGUGAAUACGUUCCCGGGCCUU